rnacentral:rRNA from 1 species
UACGUAGGAUCCGAGCGUUGUCCGGAUUUACUGGGUGUAAAGGGAGCGCAGGCGGACUUUUAAGUCGGUGGUGAAAUCUCGAAGCUUAACUUCGAAACUGCUUCCGAAACUAUUAGUCUUGAAUCUAGAAGAGGGCGAUGGAAUUCAUGGUGUAGCAGUAAAAUGCGUAGAUAUCAUGAAGAACACCGGUCGCGAAGGCGGUCGCCUGGUCUAGUAUUAACGCUCAGGCUCGAAAGUGUGGGGAGCAAACAGGAUUAGAUACCCUGGUAGUCCACACCCUAAACGAUGAAUACUCGAUGUUGGAAUUUUUCAGCAUCCAAGUUAACACGAUAAGUAUUCCACCUGGGGAGUACGAUCGCAAGGUUG